UUCCUCUAUUAUCCUUCUCACGUAAGUUUCUUCAGCCAUCUCACUCUCUCUCUUAUUUCCCAUUUUUAUUUCAUCCUCCUUGACACUCAAAAACCCUAAUUGAUAAGCGAUCGAUCACCAAAAUAUCCAAUUAUGAAUCGAGAUUGCAGAUAUGGCGAAGCGAUCAGGUACCGCUAGAAGAAGAGACGACGAAUCGGUACCAACUCGGGCUAUUGACUCGGUGUUUCGGUUCGUUCGAUUCGCUGAGUUUGAGAUCCUCUUCAUUCUCUUCUUCGUCAUCGCCUUCAUCAUCUUCAAAGAUCUGAAGUUGUAUGGCAAACGCUAUAAUGGGUUCGUGGUGUUUGCGGCUGCUGAUUAUUAUUCUACUCUUGGUGUUCCUAAAUCUGCCACCAUUAAAGAUAUUAAAGCCGCUUAUCGCAAAUUGGGUCAUCAGGAGCUGAACAUGAAAGGAGCCAAACAAGAAUGGAGGCCUUUGAUGAACAACUUAGGGUAAGCAGGGCACCUUCGGUGACCCCAUGCGGGGACUCCUUUCAUCGUGCGGGUACACCGCCACCAACAAAGGUUUACCGCACGGUUUGUGUUUGGAGCGGUAAGUGGUCACCGCUUGAGAGAGAGGAGAGAGAGAGGGGGUGAUUGGUUGUUAAUAUGGGUCCACCCUUUUUCCACCAAUCAUAUUUUUUUCUUCUUUUUUAAUAAAAAAAUAAUUAUGUGAGUGGAGUGAUGCCAACGUUUGAGUGCAAAAUGGGGACUUAAGAGGGGAGUUGACGUGGCACGUGAUGAUUGGGUGUGUGUAAGAGAGUGGACUCCCUUAAGAGAGGAGUGCCCCUCUCACCCUUAGAAACUUUAUGUCGGACCCGUGAGCACAUUUAGCUACAGAAACGUCAUGUUUUUGUGGGUAUGGAAGAAUGAGAGGUCUACAUCAAAAAUCUGAAAACUUCUCAUUUCUAAAGAAAAUGAUGUUAAAAAGUAUGUCAAUACAUAUCGAAGAACGAGUACAAACAAAGUUGGUGGUGGCAGUUAACGGGUCUACUGGAGUAGUCAAAAAAUCAUGGACAUCUACCAUAGAAGGAGGUUGCACAUGAGAAUAGACUAAUGUUAAGCUAAUUACUGGUAAGGUAAUAGCUGAAGUGGAAGCAGGAAUAUGGUCUGCAGCAGAAUUUGAACCUCAAAUAUAUAGUCAAAUAUCUUGAUCCUUAAAGACAAAGAACGAUUUUCAUAUAAUCAUUGAGUCUUUGAUAAACUUGAAUUACUUGGCUGCACAGUGAUUACAAGGGGCGUUUUGGUCAUAGUGCAGGUUGUUGUUUUGUUCAUUUUAGGUUCCGUUUUAUCUAUGGAAUGGUGAGUGAUGGGUUAUUUGUUGGUUUACGGAUCAAGUUGUAAAUGGGUUUGGUUCAAUUAAUUUCGGUCAUACUAGAA